GGAGUUCCUCCCCUCACUGGUCAAGGAUUCUCAGGUGUCCUAGUAACAAAGCUCCCUCCUCCUCUUCUCUCCUCUCCGGCAGCUGCUUCCCUAGAACUCUCAUCUGACUCAAUGCCCAUCCUUUUGCUGUCCCACCUCCUUUCCCAAUGAAAUGGCCAGGAAAUAAGGCUGCACCAUGAAUGAUCAGUACCACCGAGCAGCCAGGGAUGGCUACCUGGAUUUGCUCAAGGAAGCCACCAAGAAGGACCUAAAUUCGCCUGACGAGGAUGGCAUGACCCCAACCCUAUGGGCUGCCUAUCAUGGAAACCUGGAUGCUUUAAGGCUGAUAGUUAGCAGAGGGGGUGACCCAGACAAAUGCGAUAUCUGGGGGAACACACCUCUUCAUCUGGCAGCAGCCAAUGGCCAUCUGAAUUGCCUUUCCUUUCUGGUGUCUUUUGGGGCCAAUAUCUGGUGUCUGGACAAUGACUACCACACACCACUGGACAUGGCUGCCAUGAAGGGUCACAUGGAGUGUGUGCGCUACUUGGACUCCAUUGCUGCCAAGCAGAGUGGCCUCAAUCCCAAGCUGGUGGGAAAACUGAAGGACAAGGCCUUCAAGGAUGCUGAGAAGCGGAUUAAGGACUGUGUAAAGCUGCAGAGAAAACAUCACGAGCGAAUGGAGAAGAGGUACAGGAAAGAGAUGUCUGACCACUCGGACACAAUGAGCUUCUCCAGCUAUUCCAGCAGCACUUUGAGCAGGAGGCUCCAGCAUAUGUCCAUGAUGACUUCCUUGCCAUAUUCUCAGGCCACCAUACACGGCACAGCCAAGGGCAAGACCAAAAUUCAGAAAAAGCUAGAGAAAAAGAAGCAGGUUGAUGGGACAUUCAAAAUCUACGAGGAUGGGAGGAAAAGCGUGAGAUCCUUGUCUGGCUUGCAGCUGGGCAAUGAUGUUAUGUUUGUGAAGCAGGGCACCAACGUUAGUCCAAAGGACUGGACCCGGCGCAACAUUAGGGACAUGUUUCUGACUGACGAAGAUACCGUCUCCCGUGCCAUAAGUGACCCAGGUUUGCACAUAGACUCGGCCCAUUCUGAGGUCAGCACUGAUUCUGGCCAUGACUCCUUAUUCAAUCGCCCCGGACUUGGCACCAUGGUUUUCCGGAGGAACUAUGUCAGCAGUGCGCUGUUUGGGAUUGGUCAGGAUGAGCCCAGCAUGCUGGGAGAGGACAGGAUGGGUGUAAAACUGCACAACCACCUGCAGCGCUCGCCAAGUCUCAACGACAGCAUUGGCAGUGCCAACAGCCUGCAGGAGAGGAACAUGGAGGAGCUGCCGUGGGAUGAUGUGGAACUGGGCCUGGAUGAUGAUAUUGAACCUGACACCAGCCCCCUGGAGACUUUCCUAGCUUCCUUGCAUAUGUUUGAGUUCAUUUCCAUCCUCAAGAAGGAGAAGAUUGAUCUGGAAGCUCUUAUGUUGUGUUCAGACAAUGAUCUGAAAAGCAUCAGCAUUCCACUGGGACCCAGGAAAAAGAUUCUGGAUGCUGUCCAGAGGAGAAAACAGACUUUGGAGAACCCUGAUAUCAUAGAAGACACUGAACUGUAAGCAAUACAGCCCUACCUUCAUACUCCUGGAUACAUAUGGUUCUUCAGCACGUGAUGAUGAGCAUGAGGAUAGCAGUUUUUAAAGAACAAGAAACAAAAAACAGUUCUAUGUUGCCAGAAAACAACUUCCAGUAACCCUAAUGGUGGGAAACCUGAACGCCAUAACAGAAGGCCCAAUUUCCAACCACCUCUUGGCUUCCUUUUCCUGCUUUCCUGUCUCCAGAAACCUGCCAGAUAGCAGCCUGGUGCUAAACUGGAGCAUUUGAGACAUGAAUCACACAAAAAUGAACUAAUGAAAAUUGCCUCAUUCAGGAGCCAGAGUACAAAGAUGACAUCGUACAGAUUAUUUACCCCCAGGCCUGUCACCAGCCUCAGAAUUUUUUGGGGAGAUUACAGAAGUCAGGGGAGGCAGGUUAUAAAAUGUUGAGUGAAAACAGUCAGUGAGGCUGGGGCAGAAAGAAUUUUUUGGUGUGGCAGAUGCAUACCAUACCACCAGCUGGCUACAGGCCUGUUUACCCCUUAACCUGUACGAACUACCACAUAAUCUGCUACUUAGAAUGCUUAAAAACUGGCAAAACAGUGGAUACUUUUCACACUUUUAGUGAAAAAGUUACAUAGUGAAGAUUCAAAAUUAGUAUGAAUGAAUAGGGGUGCAUUUAUAUUGGGCUGUUAAAAUGCUCUAAAUUGCUUUUAAAAAUUAUUUAAACUUUAACUUUUAAUUUUUAAUUUCAGUUUCAAUUUUUAACAUUUAUUGUAGGAUUAUUAAAACAUAUUUUGGCACUUUAAAAUGAUCAAGAUGACAUCUCAGAAAGGUCCUGUUGAGCAUCUCGGUCUAUUUUGCCUGGAGGCGUGCUAAGUUAAUUGAUUAUCCGGAAUGUUCAAAUAAUAUGAGUUUAGUUCUCACAAGUACUUGAAACUCGAGUGCCUCCCCUGGCUUUAAUGUUAAUUAAAAACUAAUCUCUAUGAACAUCUGUUAAGGCUGAAGUGCUAUUAGAAAUUUAAAAUAUUUUAACCAAUCUCUUGUAAGUGCACCUCAACUAAUGUUGAUAGCCAAAGUUAAUGCUCCCACUGUGCGAUUUAUCCACUGUGAGGCAAAGUUGUGGUUUGUGACAGAAGGCUUGCAAAUUCUGCAGGUUAGAAGAACAGAUGCCAGCGGGGACAGGGCUCUUAUACCUUUUAUCACUGUGUUGGAGAUGCAGUUUUGGCAGAUGCAGCUUUUUCCUCGCCUGUAAUACUAUGCCAUGAUAAGCAGCCCUGCCCAAAUCCCAUCUCCUAUGUUACUAGCAAAUAGCACUUGCUGGGCUCUGUUGUAUUUGGUCAUGUUGUAGGCACAUUCCUUUCAGCCACCAUGGUAGACAGAAGCUUCUUCUCCUAGGGUUGGUAUUGCUCGGUCAAUACUACCACCAGCAGUUAGCCACCAAUAUUAUGACUUUUAUUAGAGCUUGUGAAUACGGUGAAUCUACCAUGGUUUGGACCAGAGCUGAAGUUGAGUUAAUCAGUAUACCACCAGCAUCGUUUACUGAAAAUGAUUACUUGGGAAUCAGUGUAUCAGUGCUGUUUGAAGAGGCUAAACUGCUUUGACUGCAAUCGUGUGCGCAGUUACAUGGGAGGAAGUCCCACUGAUAGGGUUGCUAUCCUAUGGAGCAAAUAUUUCCUGUAAAUUCAACACAGUGCAAAAAUGUAUGGAGAAGGCAACCAUUUUAACUCACAUUUAGCUACCAUGGUUGCAGAACUAGUAUGGGUUGUUUAGGAGGUUCUUUAGCCUGCCUUGCCUUUUCUGCUGCUGCCUUUGCGUAUUCCAAUUGGAACAAACGUGAUUUUUGUACCAAGUCUAUUUUUCACCAGGUUUCUGGUCUUGUUUGGUGGACGAGUUAUUUUAUGUUAUGGCACUUUUCUCUGUCAUGUUUCACCACGAGUAUUGCAAAGCUUUUUACAAGAUCUCAGAUCAAUGUAAAAUGAAAUAAGCAAAGCCAAUGGGAUAAGUGGUGGUGGUGGGGGACUAACAGGUUUCUUAGCACUGGAUAGAACAUGUGUAAACAUGGGGUCUAGUUAUCUUUUGGCAGCAGUUAAAAAUAGAGGAUUGGACUCAAAUGUGGUACACCCCCUGGGGGCCAACACUGGGCCAUUGUUAACAGUGGUAAACUGCAGUGUAGCCAAGUUCUUUGUUCAUAUUAGCCAUUACAAUGACAUUAACCCAAUAUUCGCUGUAACUCUGAAGCCACUUUUAUUCAGUGGGGUUGCUCUGGACUAAGUGCUUUGUGGUUUUUGAUCGUGGUGAAGAACUGAUGGCUGCUUCCCCAUUUCCAUUCUAUGUGUUUCUCUUGUACCAGGACACUCUGAAUAAUAGUAUUUCAGUUUAUUAAGCAUAUACUGUAAGCACUUAAUGUCUCUACAUUCUGAGAAUGCUUGGUAUGUCUUGUAUGUAUGUAUGUAUGCAUAUCAUACCUGUAAAAGAUCCUUGUUGUUUACUGCUUAUUUAUUAGAACAUGUGCAUUCUAUUCCCUGCCACUGCCCGACUAAAACAUUUUUAAUGA